UUGAAUCACAGUUUUCUCUGUGAUAAAAUCUAAACAGGGAAAGAAAUUUACAUAGCUUCUCAUAUCAUGGAAUAUUAUGACAAAAACCAAAUAGGUAUUAUAAAUAGUAGGUACUGAAUAGUCCAAUAUUUCAACAAAAAGUGUGUUUCUAUUUGUACAAGUGAGAAAAGGGCAGAGAAAGAAAAAGAGUGGAGAAGAGGGAAAGUGAGAAGGAGGCCAGUCAUGGCCAUGCAAAGGCUAAUGUGAAGAUCAAGUCAGAAAACACAAAAGUGGUUGGUGUGAUGCCACAUUCCCUGGACUCCAAAAGUGUUAAUUGCUGUAAUUGGGUCUGUUGCCUAAAGGAGUUUUGGUUGAUUCAUCGUCUCUUUUGCUCAGAGGGUUGAUCACUGUAAAUGACUUUAUUGACCCGUGGCUUGGUUCAGCAUCAUAUGCUCCAGUGAAGCAAACAAUAAACAGCUGCUAAGUGCAGAAGCCCUGCAUCUCCACUGGCAUUCGGGAGCCCACCUCAAUGAUGACAUCUUCCACCAUAAUUUCUGAACAACCGUGCACAGUACUACAAAGCAUGACAAUGG